rnacentral:lncRNA from 1 species
GUUGAAGAGCAUUGAGGAUCCAAAAUUCCGAAAAGUUGUGCCAAAUACGGCUAAGGUAAUCUAUGCCUGGAAUAAGAAAAUCCUUAGUUUUUUCAAAAAUUUAAAGUUUGGGAAACAGGAAAUUUAUAAAAAUGACCACAUUAUUAAUAUUCAUGUCAACACCGAAGUGUUGACUACUGGGCUGGUGAUACCCUCGGGGACGAAACGUCCAC